UACGUAGGGGGCUAGCGUUGUCCGGAAUCAUUGGGCGUAAAGAGCGCGUAGGCGGCCCGAUAAGUCCGCUGUGAAAGUCAAGGGCUUAACCCUUGAAUGCCGGUGGAAACUGUCGGGCUAGAGUCCGGAAGAGGCGAGUGGAAUUCCUGGUGUAGCGGUGAAAUGCGCAGAUAUCAGGAAGAACACCAAUGGCGAAGGCAGCUCUCUGGGACGGUACUGACGCUGAGACGCGAAAGCGUGGGGAGCGAACAGG
rnacentral:rRNA from 1 species